GACGAACGCUGGCGGCGUGCCUAAUACAUGCAAGUCGAACGCAGUGGGGACGGGUGAGUAACACGUGGGUAACCUCCCAUCAGAGGGGAUAACACUUGGAAACAGGUGCUAAACCGAUACUGAUGGAUGGACCAGCGGUGCAUUAGCUAGUUGGUGAGGUAACGGCUCACCAAGGCCACGAUGCAUAGCCGACCGGAGAGAAUGAACGGCCACACUGUGACUGAGACACGGCCCAGACUCCUACGGGAGGCAGCAGUAGGGAAUAUUAGACAAUGGACGCAAGUCUGAUCGAGCCACGCCGCGUGAUUGAAGAAGGUUUUCGGAUCGUAAAAUACUGUUUGUAGAGAAGCGGUAUCUAACCAGAAAGCAACGGCUAACUACGUGCCAGCCGCCGCGGUAAUUC
rnacentral:rRNA from 1 species